rnacentral:rRNA from 1 species
AGCGGCGGAUGGGUGAGUAACACGUGGGGAACCUGCCCCUAAGUCUGGGAUACCAUUUGGAAACAGGUGCUAAUACCGGAUAAUAAAGCAGAUCGCAUGAUCAGCUUUUGAAAGGCGGCGUAAGCUGUCGCUAAGGGAUGGCCCCGCGGUGCAUUAGCUAGUUGGUAAGGUAACGGCUUACCAAGGCGACGACGCAUAGCCGAGUUGAGAGACUGAUCGGCCACAUUGGGACUGAGACACGGCCCAAACUCCUACGGGAGGCAGCAGUAGGGAAUCUUCCACAAUGGACGCAAGUCUGAUGGAGCAACGCCGCGUGAGUGAAGAAGGUUUUCGGAUCGUAAAGCUCUGUUGAUGGUGAAGAAGGAUAGAGGUAGUAACUGGCCUUUAUUUGACGGUAAUCAACCAGAAAGUCACGGCUAACUACGUGCCAGCAGCCGCGGUAAUACGUAGGUGGCAAGCGUUGUCCGGAUUUAUUGGGCGUAAAGCGAGCGCAGGCGGAAAAAUAAGUCUAAUGUGAAAGCCCUCGGCUUAACCGAGGAACUGCAUCGGAAACUGUUUUUCUUGAGUGCAGAGGAGGAGAGUGGAACUCCAUGUGUAGCGGUGGAAUGCGUAGAUAUAUGGAAGAACACCAGUGGCGAAAGCGGCUCUCUGGUCUGCAACUGACGCUGAGGCUCGAAAGCAUGGGUAGCGAACAGGAUUAGAUACCCUGGUAGUCCAUGCCGUAAACGAUGAGUGCUAAGUGU